GACAGAGGGGGCAAGCGUUGCUCGGAAUCACUGGGCGUAAAGGGCGCGUAGGCGGGAUGGCAAGUCGGUCGUGAAAUCCUUCGGCUCAACCGAAGAACGUCGGCCGAUACUGCCGUUCUUGAGGGAUGCAGAGGAGAUUGGAAUUCCCGGUGUAGUGGUGGAAUGCGUAGAUAUCGGGAGGAACACCAGUGGCGAAGGCGGUUACCUGGAGCUUUGCUGACGCUGAUGCGCGAAAGCGUGGGGAGCGAUCCGG
rnacentral:rRNA from 1 species